UACGGAGGGUGCAAGCGUUACCCGGAAUCACUGGGCGUAAAGGGCGUGUAGGCGGGAACUCAAGUCCGACUUUAAAGACUGCGGCUCAACCGCAGCAGUGGGUUGGAGACUGGGUUUCUGGACCUCUGGAGAUAGAACUGGAAUUCCUGGUGUAGCGGUGGAAUGCGUAGAUACCAGGAGGAACACCAACGGCGAAGGCAGGUUCUUGGACAGAAGGUGACGCUGAGGCGCGAAAGUGUGGGGAGCGAACCGG
rnacentral:rRNA from 1 species